rnacentral:misc_RNA from 1 species
AGAGCGAAGAAGACGCGACGCGUGAAGGCAGUUCUUGUCGGCAAGGAGAACGACACACAUAUACGCACGCUUGUGAGAGCGAGAGACGCUGCCAGCAGCAGGUGUAUACAUCGGCACGCUUCCGCACACGCACGUGUAAGCGUGCUAUGAGGGUGUGUGUGUGUGCGCUGUUGUCGUAGCUGCUCUCUCCGUUCUCGCCGCAAGUCUCUUUCUCUCUGUCGGCCUGUCUGGGUGUCUUAUUGCUCGUCUCAUGCGUGAAACCAGCGUUGAUAAGCCCCAGGUAGUCGUCCCUUUCUUUGCUUCCACUCCAACCAUCCGCAUACAAUCUGACAACGCCCCGCAUCCGCGCGUGCGCCGCGACGUCUCCGCUGCUACCACGAUCACCUAUAACAAACGCCUGGCAACAGACAGAACGGAAUACGAAAGGAACGACAAGCACGAGCGGCGAUGAGCGACAGCGCUGACGAAUUCACUGGUGAGCCGCAGCCGCCACUCUCUGACCAGAGCAGUAUGGAGGAACAGGAAGUGCCAGAGACCAUGGCAGCGCCGCCUGCUCAGGCCGAGGUAGACAGUUCAGGGCGUGACUCCGCGGUAGGGCACGCAGUCGCUCCUCCGCGGGCCGCUCAACGCGAGGACAGCAAGGCAGACUACGCUCAACUGAACGCGGCUGAAGAGGACCUAGCCGUCAAUGUCGCGCACGAUGUGCGUGCGCGCCCGGCAUCCUCCUCCCUCCGCCUUCUCAACGGCGGCGACGACUACGACGAAUCGCCCGAGUACGAGGAAAUACCGGCAGCGGAAGAUGAAAGCGGCGGCGUCGCCGGCGCUGAUAGCGGCAGCCCUUUAAGGGCCGUGAGUGUAACAGAGCAUCGCAACUCUGCGACCACCGCAGCGGCAACUCGCCAACCAACUCAAGGCACACAGGUAGACGCUGACGUGGACCUGGGAGAACAGCAUGGGCAAUGCGGUGACGACCAUGGUGGUGCUAGUGCUCGCGCUGCAGCUGGUUCGCGCGAGAGUCAAAGAACCGCCGAUAAUGCCUCGGCUGCCCCGCACGCAACCAAGCACCAGCCGGUAGCUCCGCCGCGCUGGGGUUUUCUCCCUCAAGCGCCUCAUGGAACGGUUGAGGUGACCGUGACCCUGCUUCCGAUGAGGGCCGUCACGCGGCUUACCGUACCCGUGCGCUGCCCUAGCAUGUACCGUCCAACCGACGCAAAAACUACGGCAGCAGCUGCUUCGGGGCUGAACGGCAGCGCAGGAGACGGCGCAGGACCGCACUGGAUUCUUGUUGUGAAGGAUCUCUUCGAAGGCAUCGCCAAUCAUCUCCUUGUCCACCCGCAAUCCCUUCGGCUCUUCUACCAACACAAACGUCUGCGCUUCAUGGAAACUCUCUUCUUGGACUGCGAUGUCACGAGCGCCAUGGCGGGCCGCAGCGGCGCCGGUGACGAUGGCGGUGCCGCGGAAGGCGCUGCCAACGAUCGUGCUGAGCCAAUCUGGAUUGCUGCCACCUUCCCAGCGGCCGAGGAAGAGCACCGCGCCGGCGCUCACGGAACGGCGCUCGCGCGCGACGACAUCAAUGGCGAGGAUGAGGAAGCACAGGCGUCGCUGAUGGCGGUGCCGGCGCAUCUCUGCAAACUCGGACCCGACAAUUAUGUCGCGCGGUGCAUCCGCAUCCGGCCGCACAAACUAGAAGUCCCACCCCAGGUCCUCGUUGAAGGACGCAGACAGGGGUACAGCUACGACGAAAUGAUCCAACGUAUGCAGGCCCUUCAAGACGUUCAGCAGCUGCCGGCGUCUCACGGGGGAAGCGGCGGUGACGGCGUAGGUGAUGGGGCAUCCGAGGUGCGGCCGAAUUUUGCCAUUGUCGCCAUACUUCAAGACGGCCCCGUGGCUCCAGGGAAGGUGUAUCUCGGCGGGUACCGUGACAAGCGUCACCCGGAGAACGUGAGGCUGCACGCUGCGACUCAGCUUUACCAUCUCGACCUAGAGUACUCCCCCUUCGCUGCGACAAAGGGCUUGUCGACUAGUCGGUGCACUCGCCAGACGCAGACCCUCGGCAUCUCGCGCAGCUGCCAGACACACCGGGAGGUGUGUGUUCAGACGCCGCGCAUUGACCUGCUCCUGGAUGCAGCGCACGACUUUAUCGUGGUGGCGCGGCCGUACUUCACGGCGGCUGAGCUGCAGGCGUUGCGGGUGGAGAUGGCGAUUAUCAUUCAGAAGAUGUACCGCCAGUGGAAAGCUCGACGCAUCCGCGCUGAGCUGGAGGCGGCUGAGGCAGCGCGUCAGCAUCGCGCCGGGGUACGCCAGGGUCGGGAGGAGGCACUGCAGAUGGCCGUGGAGGACGCUGCACAGCUGCGCCGCGAUGACCCGCGCAGCGCCGCCGACUUUGAGCGCUUGAAGCAGGACGUUCUUAACUGGCGCGCCGACGAGGCGGCGCGCAUCCAGUGCGACCCGUCGCUGUCGCCGGCUGAGGUCAGGGCGGCGUUGCUGGCGCUCACAGAGACGGAGCUGAAGCUCCUUCAGCAGCUCGAUCAGCGCCGUCGCGAGGUCGGAAAGACGCGGCAGGAAAGGCGUUUUGUGCAGACGCUAAACCGCAUGGCCGCCCCCAAGCAGUGGGGCACCGUGCACGUGCGCACCCCCGAAACACAACGUGCUGCCGAGCUGCGCGACUUGUACGAGCGGCUCUGUCUCACCUCUAGCGGCGUUGUUGCAGCGGUGAAAGCCUCUGCAUCGUCGCCGAGCAAGGCGCAAGGCGGCUUUGGCUCCUCGCCGUCUCCGACGUCGGUGGGACCGAUGGCAGGGAACGUUGUGCGCAGCCCGGCAUCCGCCUCACCGUCGCCAUGGGCAAACACGGCAGCUGUCGGGUCUGCGCUGGCUGCAACACCGACGAUGGACAACGCCGUUGGUGGCCUGCCGUCGGCGACCGCAGCCCGGCUAGACAUCCUCUUGCGCGUCAAGUGGACAGUGCGGGAGUUCAGCGCCAGCUCGCUGCUCACGCAGGAGCUGUGCGAGCUUGUCGAUCGUGAGGCGGACCUGCUGCACCGUGGCCGCAAGGAGGCGUCUCUGGCGAGCCUGCGGAAGCGCAUUCAGUUCUUGUUCGCGCAGUUCAUCGAGGACCCGCAGUACAACCCCAUCGCAAGGGAAUUCGCCCAGACAGCGCGCGACCGCGUGCGCAUCAAGGCGGCUGAGCUGACGCAAGAGAAGGCGAAGCCCCGGAAAGGGCAGACGACAGCAUCCGUCUAGCGAAUCAACGGCACACCAAUGAAGGAAAAGGCCAGCAGCGCAUGCAGAAAUCAGGGUAUCGCAGCACGGGGAGGGUGUGUGCACGCCUUCCCCUCCCUGGCGUCGUCACUUCGACGGUUUGCAUCACUGAGGAUGUUUCGCCCAAGGCAUCGGAGGAGAGAGGCGGGUGUCGUCACACGUUCUCCUCCGCUGCAUGCGUGCGCGUGUUUCUGCAGUAGCGUGUGAUGCUGUUCGUCCCUUUUUUUAUUGUGCAUUUCGCCUGUGAGUCGUUGCGGUCCCAUCAUGUAUAAAACAGUGGAACGAGGGAACACAGAAAAAGCGUAGACUCGAGUGAGGGAGAGAUAGGGACGGUACGAAUGGUCUAGUGACGGGGGCGGGAGGCGGGUGGUGUGGAUACCAGCUGAGCUGUGGUCGCUGUUGUGUGCGGCGUCUCAUGUGCCCACUCCGCCCUCCCCUCUUGGCAUCCCUUUUUUCGCCCUUGAAAACUCCUCAUCAUAGCGUUCGUGAUGCUGGCUAACUACUGCCGCCGCUGUGCUUAUCUUCUCCUCCCUGCCUCUCUCUCUGGUGGCUUGGCUUCUUUAUGAAUCUGUAUCUGUUUGAAGUUGUGUUGUAGGGUUUGACGCUAGAGAUGUGUUCGUCGCUGUGGUUGUGUGCUGUGGUAAGCGGGUGGGUGGGUGGAGGGGGGCGGUGAUUCGCGUCGUCGCCCCAUUCUCUCUCGCGCGCGCGCCUUCGGCCCCCCUCCCCUCCCUGCCUCUCGUGCGCGGCUGCAGACAUGAUGUGGUGACUAUGUAAACAAGCCUAUCAACAGCGCAGGCGAAAAGGACAUCAGCCCAUGGACAUGCACGAGGAAAGGGGGUCUGCAUGUGUGCACGUGCGCGCGUUGUCUGUUUCUCUGUGCGCCAUGUACAUUCUUACGCUUCUGUUUUACGCCCCCACCACACACACACACCCUUUCAUUUUUGCGUGGGUAAGCUCUCGUAUGCGCUUCUCCCCCCUCCCUCCCUUCCGUUGGGUGAGCUGCGAGGUGAAAGCAGCACACAGCAUAAGCAGCGCGCGCGAAUGCGGACGCGCAGUCGCGAUGGUGGGUGGUCGCGAAGGCGUCAGUGUUUCCAUCCGUGUGGAUGCGUGCGUGAAGCUCGGCCCCUCUUGUUCUCUCUGCCCUCGCACGCUGUGCCGCCCGCAACGAGUCGAGCUUGAAUGAAGUGGCAAAACAAAGGCAUGCACAUGAGGAUGCAGCGAAUGUUAGACACAGCGGUAGGCGAGCGGAGAAGCUCUGCCAUAGCG